rnacentral:rRNA from 1 species
UAAGGAGUCGGACCUGCCCAGUGAAUUUUUUAACGGCCGCGGUACUCUGACCGUGCAAAGGUAGCAUAAUCAUUUGCCUUAUAAUUGAAGGCUAGUAUGAAUGGUUUGACAAGAAUAUAGCUGUCUCUUUAUAAUUUUAUAGAAUUUUAUUUUAAAGUGAAGAAGCUCUAAUAUAAUUAAAAGACAAGAAGACCCUAUCGAGCUUUAAAAAAAUCUUUAGAAACUAAUUAAUAAUUGAUUUUUAAAAAAUUAGCUAUUGAACAUUUUGGUUGGGGCGACUAAGGAACAAACAAAGCUUCCUUUAACAUAAAUAACAUUCAUGUAUUGAUCCAAAGUUUUUGAUUAAAGAAAUUAGUUACCGUAGGGAUAACAGCAUAAUCUUUUUUGAGAGCUCUUAUCGAAAAAAAGGUUUGUGACCUCGAUGUUGGACCAGAAUAUCCUAAAGAUGCAGAAGUCUUUAAGGGUUGGUCUGUUCGACCAUU